rnacentral:rRNA from 1 species
CCUACGGGAGGCUGCAGUGGGGAAUAUUGCACAAUGGGGGAAACCCUGAUGCAGCGCCGCCGCGUGAAGGAAGAAGGUUUUCGGAUCGUAAACUUCUAUCAGCGGGGAAGAAGAAAGUGACAGUACCUGACUAAGAAGCCCCGGCUAACUACGUGCCAGCAGCCGCGGUAAUACGUAGGGGGCAAGCGUUAUCCGGAAUCACUGGGCGUAAAGGGUGCGUAGGCGGCCAAUUAAGCCAGAGGUGAAAGGCUACGGCUCAACCGUAGUAAGCCUUUGGAACUGAAUGGCUUGAGUGCAGGAGAGGAGAGUGGAAUUCCCAGUGUAGCGGUGAAAUGCGUAGAUAUUGGGAGGAACACCAGUUGCGAAGGCGGCUCUCUGGACUGUAACUGACGCUGAGGCACGAAAGCGUGGGGAGCGAACAGGAUUAGAUACCCGUGUAGUC